AGGAACCUUCUAACAGCAGCUGAGGUUGGGCCACAGUGAUCCCUGGAUAGUGCCCUUGGAACCCAAGCAACACACGGACACUCUGAAUCAGGUAUGGGAGUUUCCUGGAGCAAGCUGGCAGAGAACUGGGAAAGAGAUCAUAUACAAUAAUACCUAAGGAGGAAGCUAACAGGCUUGGGUCUCCAGGAAAAACUUUUGCAGGUUAAGUUCCUUCUCUACGGUGGAGAUGAUCUUAUGAUGCUUACCGCUGCAAGCUGAGACACUGAACAUUACAAGUAACAGCAAUUCAAUGAGCUGACACAGGAGGUGUGGCACUUGGAGAACCUGGAUCAUGAAGCAGAGCAAGACCAGGAGAGGGC
rnacentral:lncRNA from 1 species